UACGUAGGUGGCAAGCGUUGUCCGGAUUUAUUGGGUUUAAAGGGUGCGUAGGCGGUCCUAUAAGUCAGUUGUGAAAUACGGCAGCUUAACUGUCGAGGUGCAAUUGAUACUGCAGGACUUGAGUACAGACGAGGUAGGCGGAAUUGACGGUGUAGCGGUGAAAUGCUUAGAUAUCGUCAAGAACACCGAUAGCGAAGGCAGCUUACUAGACUGUAACUGACGCUGAGGCACGAAAGCGUGGGGAGCGAACGGG
rnacentral:rRNA from 1 species